GCAUCUUGCAGUUGCCACUUCCUCCACUUCCCACUUUUGCUAACGGGUGGUGCUGAGAAAUCAUUCAGCUAUGGUACCUAUAGUUAUAUUCUCUUUGGACAACUAUGGAGGCUAAUGAGCAUUGUGCAGAGCGAACUUAUAACAACACAGUGAAUGAUUUAUUUAUAAGAGUCAGUAAUUAAAGGAUUUACUUCUGGAACUUUUUGCUGAAGUUCUUUAUCUGUGGUGGGACAAACACUUGAGGUAAGUAAGUCAUGGGAUUCUCUAAUACUUGCAAGCCUUCCUUUAG
rnacentral:lncRNA from 1 species